UUAAAUUGAAGAGUUUGAUCAUGGCUCAGAUUGAACGCUGGCGGCAGGCCUAACACAUGCAAGUCGAACGGUAACAGAAAGAAGCUUGCUUCUUUGCUGACGAGUGGCGGACGGGUGAGUAA
rnacentral:rRNA from 1 species